UACGUAGGUGGCAAGCGUUGUCCGGAAUUACUGGGCGUAAAGGGCGCGUAGGCGGCCUGCUAAGUCGAACGUGAAAUCCCCGGGCUCAACCCGGGAACUGCGUCCGAUACUGGGAGGCUUGAAUCCGGGAGAGGGAUGUGGGAAUUCCGAGGUGUAGCGGUGAAAUGCGUAGAUAUCUGGAGGAACACCGGUGGCGAAGGCGGCAUCCUGGACCGGUAUUGACGCUGAGGCGCGAAAGCCAGGGGAGCAAGCGGG
rnacentral:rRNA from 1 species